rnacentral:piRNA from 1 species
UAUCUAUGUAGUUAUACAGUCUCUUAUUUG